rnacentral:rRNA from 1 species
UACGUAGGGAGCAAGCGUUGUCCGGAAUCAUUGGGCGUAAAGCGCGCGUAGGCGGCCCUGUAAGUCCGUUGUGAAAGUCAAAGGCUCAACCUUUGAAAGCCGAUGGAUACUGCAGGGCUGGAGUCCGGAAGAGGCGAGUGGAAUUCCUGGUGUAGCGGUGGAAUGCGCAGAUAUCAGGAGGAACACCCGUAGCGAAGGCGGCACUCUGGGCCGGAACUGACGCUGAGGAGCGAAAGCGUGGGGAGCAAACAGG